rnacentral:rRNA from 1 species
CCUACGGGAGGCAGCAGUGGGGGAUAUUGCACAAUGGGGGAAACCCUGAUGCAGCAACGCCGCGUGUGGGAAGAAGGUUUUCGGAUUGUAAACCACUGUUCUUGGUGAAGAUAAUGACGGUAAGCAAGGAGAAAGCUCCGGCUAACUACGUGCCAGCAGCCGCGGUAAUACGUAGGGAGCAAGCGUUCUCCGGAUUUACUGGGUGGAAAGGGUGCGUAGGCGGUCUUGCAAGUCAGACGUGAAAACCCCAGGCUCAACCUGAGGACUGCGUGUGAAACUGUGGGGCUUGAGUGAGGUAGAGGUAGGCGGAAUUCCCGGUGUAGCGGUGAAAUGCGUAGAGAUCGGGAGGAACACCAGUGGCGAAGGCGGCCUACUGGGCUUUAACUGACGCUGAGGCACGAAAGCAUGGGUAGCAAACAGGAUUAGAUACCCUUGUAGUC